ACUAAGCGUACACGGUGGAUGCCCUGGCAGUCAGAGGCGAUGAAGGACGUGCUAAUCUGCGAUAAGCGUCGGUAAGGUGAUAUGAACCGUUAUAACCGGCGAUUUCCGAAUGGGGAAACCCAGUGUGAUUCGUCACACUAUCAUUAACUGAAUCCAUAGGUUAAUGAGGCGAACCGGGGGAACUGAAACAUCUAAGUACCCCGAGGAAAAGAAAUCAACCGAGAUUCCCCCAGUAGCGGCGAGCGAACGGGGAGCAGCCCAGAGCCUGAAUCAGUGUGUGUGUUAGUGGAAGCGUCUGGAAAGGCGCGCGAUACAGGGUGACAGCCCCGUACACAAAAAUGCACAUACUGUGAGCUCGAUGAGUAGGGCGGGACACGUGGUAUCCUGUCUGAAUAUGGGGGGACCAUCCUCCAAGGCUAAAUACUCCUGACUGACCGAUAGUGAACCAGUACCGUGAGGGAAAGGCGAAAAGAACCCCGGCGAGGGGAGUGAAAAAGAACCUGAAACCGUGUACGUACAAGCAGUGGGAGCCUCUUUUAUGGGGUGACUGCGUACCUUUUGUAUAAUGGGUCAGCGACUUAUAUUCUGUAGCAAGGUUAACCGAAUAGGGGAGCCGAAGGGAAACCGAGUCUUAACCGGGCGUUAAGUUGCAGGGUAUAGACCCGAAACCCGGUGAUCUAGCCAUGGGCAGGUUGAAGGUUGGGUAACACUAACUGGAGGACCGAACCGACUAAUGUUGAAAAAUUAGCGGAUGACUUGUGGCUGGGGGUGAAAGGCCAAUCAAACCGGGAGAUAGCUGGUUCUCCCCGAAAGCUAUUUAGGUAGCGCCUCGUGAAUUCAUCUCCGGGGGUAGAGCACUGUUUCGGCAAGGGGGUCAUCCCGACUUACCAACCCGAUGCAAACUGCGAAUACCGGAGAAUGUUAUCACGGGAGACACACGGCGGGUGCUAACGUCCGUCGUGAAGAGGGAAACAACCCAGACCGCCAGCUAAGGUCCCAAAGUCAUGGUUAAGUGGGAAACGAUGUGGGAAGGCCCAGACAGCCAGGAUGUUGGCUUAGAAGCAGCCAUCAUUUAAAGAAAGCGUAAUAGCUCACUGGUCGAGUCGGCCUGCGCGGAAGAUGUAACGGGGCUAAACCAUGCACCGAAGCUGCGGCAGCGACACUGUGUGUUGUUGGGUAGGGGAGCGUUCUGUAAGCCUGUGAAGGUGUACUGUGAGGUAUGCUGGAGGUAUCAGAAGUGCGAAUGCUGACAUAAGUAACGAUAAAGCGGGUGAAAAGCCCGCUCGCCGGAAGACCAAGGGUUCCUGUCCAACGUUAAUCGGGGCAGGGUGAGUCGACCCCUAAGGCGAGGCCGAAAGGCGUAGUCGAUGGGAAACAGGUUAAUAUUCCUGUACUUGGUGUUACUGCGAAGGGGGGACGGAGAAGGCUAUGUUGGCCGGGCGACGGUUGUCCCGGUUUAAGCGUGUAGGCUGGUUUUCCAGGCAAAUCCGGAAAAUCAAGGCUGAGGCGUGAUGACGAGGCACUACGGUGCUGAAGCAACAAAUGCCCUGCUUCCAGGAAAAGCCUCUAAGCAUCAGGUAACAUCAAAUCGUACCCCAAACCGACACAGGUGGUCAGGUAGAGAAUACCAAGGCGCUUGAGAGAACUCGGGUGAAGGAACUAGGCAAAAUGGUGCCGUAACUUCGGGAGAAGGCACGCUGAUAUGUAGGUGAAGUCCCUCGCGGAUGGAGCUGAAAUCAGUCGAAGAUACCAGCUGGCUGCAACUGUUUAUUAAAAACACAGCACUGUGCAAACACGAAAGUGGACGUAUACGGUGUGACGCCUGCCCGGUGCCGGAAGGUUAAUUGAUGGGGUCAGCGCAAGCGAAGCUCUUGAUCGAAGCCCCGGUAAACGGCGGCCGUAACUAUAACGGUCCUAAGGUAGCGAAAUUCCUUGUCGGGUAAGUUCCGACCUGCACGAAUGGCGUAAUGAUGGCCAGGCUGUCUCCACCCGAGACUCAGUGAAAUUGAACUCGCUGUGAAGAUGCAGUGUACCCGCGGCAAGACGGAAAGACCCCGUGAACCUUUACUAUAGCUUGACACUGAACAUUGAGCCUUGAUGUGUAGGAUAGGUGGGAGGCUUUGAAGUGUGGACGCCAGUCUGCAUGGAGCCGACCUUGAAAUACCACCCUUUAAUGUUUGAUGUUCUAACGUGGACCCGUGAUCCGGGUUGCGGACAGUGUCUGGUGGGUAGUUUGACUGGGGCGGUCUCCUCCUAAAGAGUAACGGAGGAGCACGAAGGUUGGCUAAUCCUGGUCGGACAUCAGGAGGUUAGUGCAAUGGCAUAAGCCAGCUUGACUGCGAGCGUGACGGCGCGAGCAGGUGCGAAAGCAGGUCAUAGUGAUCCGGUGGUUCUGAAUGGAAGGGCCAUCGCUCAACGGAUAAAAGGUACUCCGGGGAUAACAGGCUGAUACCGCCCAAGAGUUCAUAUCGACGGCGGUGUUUGGCACCUCGAUGUCGGCUCAUCACAUCCUGGGGCUGAAGUAGGUCCCAAGGGUAUGGCUGUUCGCCAUUUAAAGUGGUACGCGAGCUGGGUUUAGAACGUCGUGAGACAGUUCGGUCCCUAUCUGCCGUGGGCGCUGGAGAACUGAGGGGGGCUGCUCCUAGUACGAGAGGACCGGAGUGGACGCAUCACUGGUGUUCGGGUUGUCAUGCCAAUGGCACUGCCCGGUAGCUAAAUGCGGAAGAGAUAAGUGCUGAAAGCAUCUAAGCACGAAACUUGCCCCGAGAUGAGUUCUCCCUGACCCUUUAAGGGUCCUGAAGGAACGUUGAAGACGACGACGUUGAUAGGCCGGGUGUGUAAGCGCAGCGAUGCGUUGAGCUAACCGGUACUAAUGAACCGUGAGGCUUAACC
rnacentral:rRNA from 1 species